rnacentral:rRNA from 1 species
UAAGACGAACCGUACGAACGUUAUUCGGAAUCACUGGGCUUAAAGAGUGCGUAGGCGGCUUUGUAGGUGGGGUGUGAAAUCCCUCGGCUCAACCGAGGAACUGCGCUCCAAACCACAAGGCUUGAGGGAGAUAGAGGUGGGCGGAACUGAUGGUGGAGCGGUGAAAUGCGUUGAUAUCAUCAGGAACACCGGUGGCGAAAGCGGCUCACUGGGUCUCUUCUGACGCUGAGGCACGAAAGCUAGGGUAGCGAACGGGAUUAGAUACCCCGGUAGUCCUAGCCGUAAACGAUGAGCACUGGAUCGAGGGACCUUCCACAGUUUCUCGGUCGUAGCGAAAGUGUUAAGUGCUCCGCCUGGGGAGUAUGGUCGCAAGGCUG